rnacentral:rRNA from 1 species
CCUACGGGAGGCAGCAGUGAGGAAUCUUGCGCAAUGGGCGAAAGCCUGACGCAGCCACGCCGCGUGCCGGAUGACGGCCCUAUGGGUUGUAAACGGCUUUUACUAGGGGAGAACGAGAGGGUUUUGAUCUUCUGUGACGGUACCUAGUGAAUAAGCACCGGCUAACUCCGUGCCAGCAGCCGCGGUAAUACGGAGGGUGCAAGCGUUGUCCGGAAUCAUUGGGUGUAAAGGGUGCGUAGGCGGGAGCCUAAGUCUGGGGUGAAAUCUUGCCGCUUAACGGUAAAAUGGCCUUGGAUACUGGGUUUCUUGAGUGCAGAAGAGGCAGGUGGAAUUCGUGGUGUAGCGGUGAAAUGCUUAGAUAUCACGAAGAACAUCAGUGGCGAAGGCGGCCUGCUGGUCUGCAACUGACGCUGAGGCACGAAAGCGUGGGGAGCGAACAGGAUUAGAUACCCUGGUAGUCCACGCCGUAAACGAUGCAUACUAGGUGUUGGCCUUAGGGCCAGUGCUGCAGUUAACGCAUUAAGUAUGCCACCUGGGGAGUACGUCGGCAACGAUGAAACUCAAAGGAAUUGACGG